rnacentral:rRNA from 1 species
UAAGAAUAUUCCGCAAUGGACGAAAGUCUGACGGAGCGACGCCGCGUGGAUGACGAAGGCCGAAAGGUUGUAAAAUCCUUUUGCUGAGGAAGAAUAAGCGUGGGAGGGAAUGCCCGCGUGAUGACAUUAGUCGGCGAAUAAGCCCCGGCUAACUACGUGCCAGCAGCCGCGGUAACACGUAGGGGGCAAGCGUUGUUCGGAAUUACUGGGCGUAAAGAGCAUGUAGGCGGCUUAGUAAGCCUGACGUGAAAGUCUAUGGCUCAACCAUGGGAUUGCGUUGGGAACUGCGUAGCUAGAAUCAUGGAGAGGGAGAUAGAAUUCCAGGUGUAGGGGUGAAAUCUGUAGAGAUCUGGAAGAAUACCGGUGGCGAAGGCGAUCUCCUGGCCAAUGAUUGACGCUGAGGUGCGAAAGUGUGGGGAUCAAAC